GCCGAGGUGGCAGAGCGGACUAAUGCGCCGGCCUUGAGAGCCGGUUCCCCUCUGGGGAGCUAGGGUUCAAAUCCCUACCUCGGCG
rnacentral:tRNA from 1 species